UCAGCACUUUGGAGAGGAAGCAGAUUGGAUUUAAGAAGAGAAAAUAUAAAGAAAGACCUUCUUUAGGAAUAAGCUUGAGAAGUCAAGAGAUUUUCAAUUAUGCUUUAAAACAGAGUUUUCUCAUCUUGGAUAAGCUGUUUGGCCUCUCGGCUGCUGUAUCCCAACUUUGCAAAAUUUCAAACACGGAUAAUCAUCAACUCACCCACUGGCUCUUGCCCUAUGUAAGAGAGCAUCACACUUAAGUAGUUAAUAAUUGUGGGUUACAGUUUACUUAUUUUCUGACGUCUGUUUGCAUUUGUGGCAAGGGUAGGCAAAGUCUUCCAUCAGGUUUGCUGUAAAUUCAAAUACCAGCCAUCCUGCCCUGGCUAGCCCAGCUGGGUCUCUGGGUAUUAACUCGGCAGACAUCUGAUAAAGUGUUCCAGCAGGAAAAGUCAUUACCCACAGCUUUGCUUGGGGGAAGGAAGCGGAGGACCUGGGCCAUUUUACAUUUUUCUCAUUUCUCCCUGUCACGUUGGGACACAAUAUCAUGCAACCUAACAGUGUGAUGAGCUGAGAUGAGACACUGGGUCUGAGCACUCGAUGUUCGAGGCUGCCAAACACAACACCCACAACAUGUUAAAUGAAGAAAGUGACUCAGUGUGCAGAGAGAGACUUCUCCCGGUGAGUUGGGGCCAGGAUUGACACAAAUCCCAAGUCAGAUGUGGGCAGCUUUCUUCUCUGUGACUAUUUUGGAUUGAAUGCAAAUGUGAAUCAGUCUGUCAAGCAAGCUCUGAUUGUGAUUGACAUAUUUAUUGUUGACAAUGCUAGGAGAACCCAGAAGUCCAUUUAUACUUGAGGACCCUUCUGCCUGGAGCAUACGUGAGGUAAUACAUGUUAUAUAUGUAUUCAUGUUCAUUUUACUUUGUGAAAGAAGAUACAUAUCACUUACACUGAGGAAAAAUUCAUGGAGAAAAUCAAAUGAAGAAUGGUCUGUGACUGCACCUUUGGGGGAUCCAAAUUUCCUUUGAUUAGAAAAUGACAGAUAUACUCCAUCUAGAGUCUGCUUUACUGAGAAGCCAAUGAGCCACUGACAAUUCAGUUGUUGGGAAGAGCACAUGUCCUGAGAAGGUCUAAUUCUGUUUCAAAGAAAAAUGCCUGGUAGUUUCACGGGAAAUUUUGCUUCAAUAAUCCCUGUAGAUUCAAGCACUAAGUAUGUCACUGAAAGGAGCAAUGUAGCUUGUCUUUCCAAGUCAGAAUAAGUGAACUAUAAGAGGUUUGGGGAAAUGAAUAUGUUGGUCAGGAAAGGCAAGUUGCAAUUUUAC
ensembl:lncRNA